rnacentral:rRNA from 1 species
GACGUAGGGCGCGAGCGUUGUCCGGAUUUAUUGGGCGUAAAGAGCUCGUAGGCGGCUUGUCGCGUCGAAUGUGAAAUCCCGAGGCUCAACUUCGGGCUUGCAUUCGAUACGGGCAGGCUAGAGUUCGGUAGGGGAGACUGGAAUUCCUGGUGUAGCGGUGAAAUGCGCAGAUAUCAGGAGGAACACCAGUGGCGAAGGCGGUGGUCUGGGCCGAUACUGACGCUGUAGAGCGAAAGCGUGGGGAGCGAACAGG